AACUUUUUACAACGGAUCACUUGGUUCUGGCAUCGAUGAAGAACGCAGCGAAAUGCGAUAAGUAAUGCGAAUUGCAGAAUUCCAGUGAGUCAUCGAAUCUUUGAACGCACAUUGCGCCCUUUGGCAUUCCUUAGGGCAUGCCUGUUCGAGCGUCACUAACAACCAUCUCACAGAAAAUGUGGUAUUGGCUAAAGUGUGUAACACUGAUAGUGUGCUCUUCUCACUUAGCUGAAAUGGAUUAGCCAGAGAAGUAUAUCAUGGCAACAGACUCUAAGAGUGUUUUUGAAAUGCUAAACUAGUCUGUGGCAGGUUUGAAUCUGAGCUACAAGGACCCCCAUUUAGUCCAAAUUGAAUAGGUUGACCUCGGAUCAGGUAGGGAUACCCGCUGAACUUAAGCAUAUCAAUAAGCGGAGGCU
rnacentral:misc_RNA from 1 species